ensembl:lncRNA
GGAGGAGAUAGGGGAGGAGAUAGGGGGAGGAGAUAGGGGGAGGAGAUAGGGGGAGGCAGGGGGAGGAGAUAGGGGAGGAGAUAGGGGGAGGAGAUAGGGGAGGAGAUAGGGGGAGGCAGGGAGGAGAUAGGGGAGGAGAUAGGGGGCAGGGGGAGGAGAUAUGGGAGGAGAUAGGGGAGGAGAUAGGGGGAGGCAGGGAGGAGAUAGGGGGAGGCAGGGAGGAGAUAGGGGGAGACAGGGGAGGGAGAUAGUGGGAGGCAUGGGGAGGAGAUAGUGGGAGGCAGGGGGAGGAGAUAGUGGGAGGCAGGGGAGGAGAUAGUGGGAGGCAGGGGGAGGAGAUAGUGGGAGGCAGGGGGAGGAUCGCUUUAAAAUUCGAGUUCAAUUAAAAUGCAUAUUUAAAUUGAAUAUUGAUGUAUU